UCCCGGGUGAUCUUCUUUUUCACCUUAUCCGGAUAGGCCAUGUACCACUUUUGUAACCGCAGCUUGCCCUGCCGACUGAACAGCAGCAUGAAAAGCAUCUGGAAUAAGGUACCAAGCUCCUCUCAAUUUCCACUGACACAGUCAUCGAGCACCCCCACCAACACACACACAUGUACACCUGGAGCCACCGCUUCAUCAACACACAAAUUUGAUUCGAUAACGAAAUAAAUCACUUGUUCGCCGAAUUUUUCUUAAGCCUUA